AAAUAUGCAUUAUUGGAUCAGAGGAACGAAAUAAUAGACAUAGAGCAUAUAACGUGCAUCGCAGAUUCGCAGAAGAGGGAGAAGAAAAAAACAAGAGCCUAGAGAUUAUGAUUGAGAGGACUGGAACUGAUUAGUGAUUAAUGUUUAACCAAGUCAGGAUCGGGCUUAAAGUUUUAGAAGGCUGAUGUAACAGAGGUGCCCUAUAGUAGACAAAACAAAAUAAAUCAAAAGGAGCUGGGCCAAUAGAAAAACAUAAAUCAAGGCUCGAACUUGGUUGAUAAUCCAAUGAUUAAAUCAGUUAAGAGCUUAACGCAUGACGAUUCCACCCUCGUGACAGUGUAUAUACACAUUUGUCACGUUUUUUUUGUCACAACACAUCCGGCCACUAGACAAAUAGAUAUUAUUGAUCUUACUGAUCAUGCAUCCUUUGCAUCACCAAAGGGCCACGAGGCCUGAUUAGGAGAUUGAUUAAUAGUUUUCUUUCGUUCUGUCUAUAUAAAGACAUUCCUUCUAAAGAGACUAACACACCUCUCUCCAGUGCCUCUCCCUCCCUCCCUCUUCAAAUCUCACCUCUUUGAUUGUAUCUCCAUCCAAAUAUUGAUUCAAGACUAUCCAAUGGGUCCAGCUAAAUUGCAAGAUCCACAUUUGGACGUCGAAGAAAAUAUUACAAUGAUACAAGAACACUUGAUAUGGCGCGAAUCUGACAUCAAUAAAAUUAAAGCAUUGUACUUAGCAGACACUUCCCCGGCCAAGAAACUGAAACCAAAAGCAAUGGAAAAAUGGCUGUUGUGACGUCGGAAAAAGGGGUCGUGACGGCUGAUCACGAGACAUGUUCCGAGAUCGGAGCUGACGUGCUAAGAAGACUCGGCGGCACCGCCGUGGAUGCCGCAGUGGCUGUCGCGUUUAGCUUAGGUGUGUAAUCCAUCGUCGAGUGGAAUCGGCGGUGGAUCCUUAAUGGUUGUGGGUUCAUCAGCCAGCUCGGUAGCCACGGCUUAUGAUAUGAGAGAAACCGCUCCAUUGGCUGCUUCACAAGUUCUUAAUAAAAACAUUUUACAUCUUUCAUUACAUUUUAUUUACUACUCUUUCACUUUCUUCAAAAGUGCCAUUUUAACAUUUUUCACACGAAUGUAUUUAUGUUUUAUUAAUUAUACAUAUUUAGCUAAUAAUGUUAGAGAUAAAUAAAAUUACAUAUAAGAUUAA